CAAACCUCUGUUUCACUUUCUUUACAAAGCCAGUAAUUGCAGAGAGGAUCUGGAGGAGCUGGAGCCACUUGAGAUGAGUGAUUUAAUGACUUCCCAAAGACUACGCCAAAGUCACCACAACUUUCCAAGAUUACCUAGGAGGGGAGGCUCUGUCACAGCAACAUGAAGAUGCUGAGCAUGGACAAACACCGAGAGAUGGACCCAGGGCCUAAUUCUACUGAUGCACUCCAGGUUACAGCAGCAAUCAGAAACUGUGUCUGUCAGACAUCGCUUCCCUGCUGGCCCUGUUAGCAUCCUGCAAGCAGAUCACAGGGGGACGUCAGGAAGCUUUGAAAAGAGCUCUUGACUUCUUGGGUGCAUAUGCAGUGUGUCACGAAGUGUGGCAGUUCCUCCAGCAUUCCCUGCCUGGCUUGCUAAUGAGAGCUGCUUUGAUUCAGCAUCCUCUUUGCCCUUGCUGUCUUGAAGGAAAUCCAGCUGAGGUGUGAAGAAUCCUAACGCUGUGAGCAGGACCAGCACUGUGCUGUCACCAGCAUGAGUUGUGGGAUGU
rnacentral:lncRNA from 1 species